GAUGAACGCUGGCGGCGUGCCUAAUACAUGCAAGUCGAGCGAACAGACGAGGAGCUUGCUCCUCUGACGUUAGCGGCGGACGGGUGAGUAACACGUGGAUAACCUACCUAUAAGACUGGGAUAACUUCGGGAAACCGGAGCUAAUACCGGAUAACAUGUUGAACCGCAUGGUUCAACAGUGAAAGACGGUCUUGCUGUCACUUAUAGAUGGAUCCGCGCCGCAUUAGCUAGUUGGUAAGGUAACGGCUUACCAAGGCAACGAUGCGUAGCCGACCUGAGAGGAUGAUCGGCCACACUGGAACUGAGACACGGUCCAGACUCCUACGGGAGGCAGCAGUAGGGAAUCUUGCGCAAUGGGCGAAAGCCUGACGGAGCAACGCCGCGUGAGUGAUGAAGGUCUUCGGAUCGUAAAACUCUGUUAUUAGGGAAGAACAAAUGUGUAAGUAACUAUGCACGUCUUGACGGUACCUAAUCAGAAAGCCACGGCUAACUACGUG
rnacentral:rRNA from 1 species